UAAUCUCCAACCUUAAACAGAUUCAUUUUCUUUGGUAAGUUUUCCACUCACAUUACUUAAAGCAAAAAAGAUGAUUUCUUUACCAAAGAAAGAUUUGCGAUUAUGGUUUUUCCUAAGUUUUCUUCUCUGGAGCAGGUUUUAUCUCCUUCUGAGUCUUUAACUCCAAAACCAAACUUGUUAUCUCAGAUUGAAUAUACGUAUUUCUCCUCCGGGCUUCCAGGUUGUCAAUAAGUAUAGUCAGAAAAAUUUGGUGUUCUGUUUUCUCUGCUCUCCCAUCAGGUUAACUGAUCAAUUAACACCUUCUCUGCAUCUAGUUCCUUUUAGUUCUGGCUAAACUAAAUUUUGAAACCUUGUCAAUUUUUUGUUGUGUUGUAAUUCUGACUGAUCUUUCCUCCUUCAGUCUUUCCUCUACU
rnacentral:lncRNA from 1 species